rnacentral:hammerhead_ribozyme from 1 species
GCACUACCGAAGAGUCCCGCAAUAGGGCGAAACGGCCGUCCAAUAC